UAAGCGGAGGAAAGGAAACCAACAGGGAUUGCCUCAGUAACGGCGAGUGAAGCGGCAAAAGCUCAAAUUUGAAAUCCCCCGGGAAUUGUAAUUUGAAGAGAUUUGGGUCCGGCCGGCAGGGGUUAAGUCCACUGGAAAGUGGCGCCACAGAGGGUGACAGCCCCGUGAACCCCUUUAAAGCCCUCAUCCCAGAUCUCCAAGAGUCGAGUUGUUUGGGAAUGCAGCUCUAAGUGGGUGGUAAAUUCCAUCUAAAGCUAAAUACCGGCGAGAGACCGAUAGCGAACAAGUACAGUGAUGGAAAGAUGAAAAGCACUUUGAAAAGAGAGUGAAAAAGUACGUGAAAUUGUUGAAAGGGAAGGGCUUGCAAGCAGACACUUAACUGGGCCAGCAUCGGGGCGGCGGGAAACAAAACCACCGGGGAAUGUACCUUUCGAGGAUUAUAACCCCGGU
rnacentral:rRNA from 2 species